CUGGCUGACUAUUCAUAUUGCAGGGUUCCUACAUGCGUAAGACGGGCUAUGGAUGGUCAACCUCUUUCAGGAGGGAUGAAUAAAUGAUGUGUACCUGAAGAAUAAGCAUCGGCUAACUCCGUGCCAGCAGCCGCGGUAAGACGGGGGAUGCAAGUGUUAUCCGGAAUCACUGGGCGUAAAGCGUCUGUAGGUGGUUUAAUAAGUCAACUGUUAAAUCUUGAGGCUCAACCUCAAAAUCGCAGUCGAAACUAUUAGACUAGAGUAUAGUAGGGGUAAAGGGAAUUUCCAGUGGAGCGGUGAAAUGCGUAGAUAUUGGAAAGAACACCGAUGGCGAAGGCACUUUACUGGGCUAUUACUAACACUGAGAGACGAAAGCUAGGGUAGCAAAUGGGAUUAGAUACCCCAGUAGUCCUAGCCGUAAACAAUGGAUACUAGAUGUUGAACAGAUCGACUGUGCAGUAUCACAGCUAACGCGUUUAGUAUCCCGCCUGGGAAGUAUGCUCCAACAGUGAAACUCAAA
rnacentral:rRNA from 1 species